rnacentral:lncRNA from 1 species
CGGGAUUGGCAUAACAGGAUUUAGUCAGUUCACCAACAUCUUUGAAAGAACCUUAUAUGGAACUGUACAUAGGCUAAUCGACCUAAAUUGAGAGAUAAGCUCCGACCUCACUUUAGAGAUAAGCAUUAUCAAAGUCCUGUUAAGAAAAGGAUCGACGCUACCUCCCUCAAAAACCUUUAGGACUAUGGAUACAAGUGAUUCACCAAGUAUACUCCACUGGCUUUGAUAGAACUG